ACAGGUCUUGUUGAGGGGAGUGAAGUCACUCAGACACCCACCAUACUCUGGAAACUGAAAGACAGUGAUGCUCUGAUGAACUGCAGUCACACUAAGGGAUCUAGCUACACCAGAUGUACUGGUACAGACAGCUUCCAGGAGAGGGAAUGAAGCAGGUAGUUUACACAAGUAGUUAUAGCGAUCCAGAAUAUGGAGACUUCAGUAAAGACAAAUAUCCAACUGUUAAGGCUAUAGCUGAGAGUGGAUCUUUCACAGUGAAGAAGUUGGAGACAGGAGACAGUGGAAUGUACUUCUGUGCUGUGAGUGAACACAGUGAUACAGACAACAAGUACAGCUGCACAAAAACCCCAGUAUUUCAAUAGGAUGUAAUAUAAUAUGUAAAUAGAUGGUCUCAUCACAUACUGUAGGGGACCUCUAACUCUAGUUCUUCUAAUGUCUGAUGGUUUCAUUGUCAUGAUCAUGUAAUCAGUCAUGUUCACAGUGAGGUCCUAUGAGCAAGCUUUACAGUACAGGCUUCCUGACACUCCUUCUAACACUGUCACUAUCCACCACCCUGAAGGAAACAUGCUACUACAACAGCCAAUCUCCUUUCACCUCAGAGCUUCACCCAGGAGACACUCAUAUCACAUCCUCAUCAUCAUCGUCUUCCUCAGCAUAUUCAUCAUCUUCAUCAUCAUCAUAAUAUUUUUCUUCAUCAUGAUGUUCAGAGUUCUGAUUCACCUGGCAGCUCUACCACUCUGGGUGACAGGGCAGUUGUUUAGUAGCAUGGUUCAUCAGAGGCCUGUGGCACUAACAGAAGGUCCUGGAGGAGACGUUCAACUCACCUGCAGCCAUACGAUCCCUAACUACUACGUGAUACUAUGGUACAAACAGUCAGCAGGAGACACUGCUAUGAAACUCAUUGGUUAUGCAUAUACCAAGUCAAUAACCAUGGAGAAAUCAUUUGAAAAGCACUUUAAUGUGAGUGGAGACGGUGGGAAAGAGGCUUAUCUUCAUCUAGUGAGUCUGAGAGGACCUGAACACAGUGCAGUUUAUUACUGUGCAGCCAGCCAACACAGUGAUGUAGACUUCCUCCUGCUCUCUACUAAAACCCUGUCUGAUGAACCAUCAACAUGAUCAAGCUUCUCAUACAUGUAGCAACUCUACCACUAUGGGUGACAGGGCUGUCACAAACAGACAAAGUUCACCAGACUCCUACUGCAAUACUAAAAGGACCUGAAGACAAAGUUAAUCUCACCUGCAGCCACACUGAUCAAAGCUACAACAUGAUACUGUGGUACCAACAGUCAGGCCAAAACACUGGUCUGAAACUCAUUGGGUAUGUGUGGAACACCAGUCCAACUGUGGAAGAUUCCUUUAAAGGGCGUUUUGAUGUCAGUGGAGAUGCUGCAGCUAAUAAAAUGGCGUAUCUACAUUUUCCCAAAGUGACAGAAGCUGAAGACAGUGCAGUGUAUUUCUGUGCUGCUAGUGAAGCACAGUGUUUCACUAUACCCUCUCUCCUCUACAAAAACCCUCUCUGAUCCUCUCAUAUAAUACUGACUACAG
rnacentral:lncRNA from 1 species